AGUCGAACGAACUCUGGUAUUGAUUGGUGCUUGCAUCAUGAUUUACAUUUGAGUGAGUGGCGAACUGGUGAGUAACACGUGGGAAACCUGCCCAGAAGCGGGGGAUAACACCUGGAAACAGAUGCUAAUACCGCAUAACAACUUGGACCGCAUGGUCCGAGCUUGAAAGAUGGCUUCGGCUAUCACUUUUGGAUGGUCCCGCGGCGUAUUAGCUAGAUGGUGGGGUAACGGCUCACCAUGGCAAUGAUACGUAGCCGACCUGAGAGGGUAAUCGGCCACAUUGGGACUGAGACACGGCCCAAACUCCUACGGGAGGCAGCAGUAGGGAAUCUUCCACAAUGGACGAAAGUCUGAUGGAGCAACGCCGCGUGAGUGAAGAAGGGUUUCGGCUCGUAAAACUCUGUUGUUAAAGAAGAACAUAUCUGAGAGUAACUGUUCAGGUAUUGACGGUAUUUAACCAGAAAGCCACGGCUAACUACGUGCCAGCAGCCGCGGUAAUACGUAGGUGGCAAGCGUUGUCCGGAUUUAUUGGGCGUAAAGCGAGCGCAGGCGGUUUUUUAAGUCUGAUGUGAAAGCCUUCGGCUCAACCGAAGAAGUGCAUCGGAAACUGGGAAACUUGAGUGCAGAAGAGGACAGUGGAACUCCAUGUGUAGCGGUGAAAUGCGUAGAUAUAUGGAAGAACACCAGUGGCGAAGGCGGCUGUCUGGUCUGUAACUGACGCUGAGGCUCGAAAGUAUGGGUAGCAAACAGGAUUAGAUACCCUGGUAGUCCAUACCGUAAACGAUGAAUGCUAAGUGUUGGAGGGUUUCCGCCCUUCAGUGCUGCAGCUAACGCAUUAAGCAUUCCGCCUGGGGAGUACGGCCGCAAGGCUGAAACUCAAAGGAAUUGACGGGGGCCCGCACAAGCGGUGGAGCAUGUGGUUUAAUUCGAAGCUACGCGAAGAACCUUACCAGGUCUUGACAUACUAUGCAAAUCUAAGAGAUUAGACGUUCCCUUCGGGGACAUGGAUACAGGUGGUGCAUGGUUGUCGUCAGCUCGUGUCGUGAGAUGUUGGGUUAAGUCCCGCAACGAGCGCAACCCUUAUUAUCAGUUGCCAGCAUUAAGUUGGGCACUCUGGUGAGACUGCCGGUGACAAACCGGAGGAAGGUGGGGAUGACGUCAAAUCAUCAUGCCCCUUAUGACCUGGGCUACACACGUGCUACAAUGGAUGGUACAACGAGUUGCGAACUCGCGAGAGUAAGCUAAUCUCUUAAAGCCAUUCUCAGUUCGGAUUGUAGGCUGCAACUCGCCUACAUGAAGUCGGAAUCGCUAGUAAUCGCGGAUCAGCAUGCCGCGGUGAAUACGUUCCCGGGCCUUGUACACACCGCCCGUCACACCAUGAGAGUUUGUAACACCCAAAGUCGGU
rnacentral:rRNA from 2 species